CCCAGAUUGGAGGAAACUGGAGGUGGGGAUGGACUUAGGGUUGCCCAAUCUGCAGUGGCCUCAGGUUGGAGCACCUGUGGGGUUUUUCCCUGGGUGGAAGAUGUGGCAUCUCUGCAGAGCCUGGAAAUUCACCCAUGUUGCAGGGGCUGUAUUGAAGCUGGUGAGACUGCUCACAGGAGAGAGAUUAAGUAUUCAUGCAAGCAUUUGCAAGGUUUUCAGACCUGGGACUAAGGUUCAACUGCUGGUGCUUUUCAAAGCCAACUAGAUGAAGGCGUGAUGCUACGCAAAAAGUGAAGGAAUUCCAUUGCCUUAUUCGCAUGUUUCUGAUGCCAGACACACCAAUAAACAGAAGAAAUGCUGGAUAAAGACCA
rnacentral:lncRNA from 1 species